rnacentral:rRNA from 1 species
AUUGAACGCUGGCGGCAUGCCUUACACAUGCAAGUCGAACGGCAGCACGGGAGCAAUCCUGGUGGCGAGUGGCGAACGGGUGAGUAAUAUAUCGGAACGUGCCCAGUCGUGGGGGAUAACGUAGCGAAAGCUACGCUAAUACCGCAUACGAUCUACGGAUGAAAGCGGGGGAUCGCAAGACCUCGCGCGAUUGGAGCGGCCGAUAUCAGAUUAGGUAGUUGGUGAGGUAAAGGCUCACCAAGCCGACGAUCUGUAGCUGGUCUGAGAGGACGACCAGCCACACUGGGACUGAGACACGGCCCAGACUCCUACGGGAGGCAGCAGUGGGGAAUUUUGGACAAUGGGCGCAAGCCUGAUCCAGCAAUGCCGCGUGCAGGAUGAAGG